CCUACGGGUGGCUGCAGUGAGGAAUAUUGGUCAAUGGACGAGAGUCUGAACCAGCCAAGUAGCGUGAGGGAUGACUGCCCUAUGGGUUGUAAACUUCUUUUAUAUGGGAAUAAAACGUUCCACGUGUGGGAGUUUGUAUGUACCAGAUGAAUAAGGAUCGGCUAACUCCGUGCCAGCAGCCGCGGUAAUCAGGAGGAUCCGAGCGUUAUCCGGAUUUAUUGGGUUUAAAGGGAGCGUAGGUGGAUUGUUAAGUCAGUUGUGAAAGUUUGCGGCUCAACCGUAAAAUUGCAGUUGAAACUGGCAGUCUGGAGUACAGUAGAGGUGGGCGGAAUUCGUGGUGUAGCGGUGAAAUGCUUAGAUAUCACGAAGAACUCCGAUUGCGAAGGCAGCGUACUAAACUAUAACUGACACUGAAGCACGAAAGCGUGGGGAUCAAACAGGAUGAGAUACCCUUGUAGUC
rnacentral:rRNA from 1 species